rnacentral:rRNA from 1 species
AGAAUCAACGCUGGCGGCGUGCCUAACACAUGCAAGUCGAACGAGAAAGUGGAGCAAUCCAUGAGUAAAGUGGCGCACGGGUGAGUAACACGUGACUAACCUACCCAGGAGUGGGGGAUAACUGAGGGAACCUUAGCUAAUACCGCAUAACACCUACGGGUCAAAGGAGCAAUUCGCUUCUGGAGGGGGUCGCGGCCGAUUAGUUAGUUGGUCAGGGUAAUGGCCUACCAAGACGAUGAUCGGUA